UACGAAGGGGGCUAGCGUUGCUCGGAAUGACUGGGCGUAAAGGGCGCGUAGGCAGCUUGCACCGUCAGAUGUGAAAUUCCUGGGCUUAACCUGGGGGCUGCAUUUGAUACGUGUGGGCUUGAGUGCGGAAGAGGGUCGUGGAAUUCCCAGUGUAGAGGUGAAAUUCGUAGAUAUUGGGAAGAACACCGGUGGCGAAGGCGGCGACCUGGUCCGUGACUGACGCUGAGGCGCGAAAGCGUGGGGAGCGAACAGG
rnacentral:rRNA from 1 species